CCUAGAGUUGUAGGCUUUGCCUGCUAUCUAUUACCCAUGUCUUUUGAGUACCUUCGUUUCCUCGGCGGGUCCGCCCGCCGAUUGGACAAUUUAAACCAUUUGCAGUUGCAAUCAGCGUCUGAAAAAACUUAAUAGUU
rnacentral:misc_RNA from 1 species